UACGGGGGGGGCAAGCGUUGUUCGGAAUUACUGGGCGUAAAGGGCUCGUAGGCGGCCAACUAAGUCAGACGUGAAAUCCCUCGGCUUAACCGGGGAACUGCGUCUGAUACUGGACGGCUUGAGUUUGGGAGAGGGAUGCAGAAUUCCAGGUGUAGCGGUGAAAUGCGUAGAUAUCUGGAGGAAUACCGGUGGCGAAGGCGGCAUCCUGGACCAACACUGACGCUGAGACGCGAAAGCUAGGGGAGCAAACGGG
rnacentral:rRNA from 1 species